UCCCUCUUAGCUCAGUUGGUAGAGCGCGUCACUAGUACGCUGUGACGAGGUCAGUCGUUCAAAUCGGCUAGCGGGAA